CGAUCGGGAGGCCUCUGGUGGGACAGGGGCCGGGAAUGGAUCGCACCCGCCGUCUCGUAUGGGUACGCCGCUGUAGCCCGACAGCAGGCGUU
ncrna:unclassified sequences Rhodo-rpoB RNA